rnacentral:rRNA from 1 species
AUUGAACGCUGGCGGCAGGCCUUACACAUGCAAGUCGAACGAGUGGCGGACGGGUGAGUAAUAUCUGGGAAACUGCCCGAUGGCGGGGGAUAACUACUGGAAACGGUAGCUAAUACCGCAUACCAUCAGAUGUGCCCAUAUGGGAUUAGCUAGUUGGUGGGGUAACGGCUCACCAAGGCAACGAUCCCUAGCUGGUCUGAGAGGAUGACCAGCCACACUGGAACUGAGACACGGGCCAGACUCCUACGGGAGGCAGCAGUGGGGAAGAUUGCACAAUGGGGGAAAGCCUGAUGCAGCCAUGACGCGUGUAUGAAGAAGGCCUUCGGGUUGUAAAGUACUUUCAGCGGGGAGGCGGUACCCGCAGAAGAAGCACCGGCUAACUACGUGCCAGCAGCCGCGGUAAUAC